UACGGAAGGCAGCAGUGGGGAAUAUUGCACAAUGGGCGAAAGCCUGAUGCAGCUAUGCCGCGUGUAUGAAGAAGGCCUUAGGGUUGUAAAGUACUUUCAUCGGGGAGGAAAAAACAAAACUAAUAAUUUUAUUUCUUGACGUUACCCGAAAAAGAAGCACCGGCUAACUCCGUGCCAGCAGCCGCGGUAAUACGGAGGGUGCUAGCGUUAAUCAGAAUUACUGGGCGUAAAGAGCACGUAGGUGGUUUUUUUAAGUCAGAUGUGAAAUCCCUGGGCUUAACCUAGGAACUGCAUUUUGAAACUGAAAUACUAGAGUAUCGUAGAGGGAGGUAGAAUUCUAGGUGUAGCGGUGAAAUGCGUAGAUAUCUGGAGGAAUACCUGUGGCGAAAGCGGCCUCCUAAACGAAUACUGACACUGAGGUGCGAAAGCGUGGGGAGCAAACAGGGAUUAGAUACCC
rnacentral:rRNA from 1 species